CAACACUGUAGGGAAAAGUAAAAAAAACAAAUAUAGAACUAUCAAGGAAAUUUGGAUGUGGUUCGACCAAAUGGAUGCUAUCUAAACUGGCGAGCAAUGGGAGGGAGAGUGCCCUGGACUGGCGUUGAUCCACGAUGGAGGAUGAUGCACUUUUGAAAUAUUUGAAUCCCACCCCUGCAAAACCUGGGCCACCUGCAGACACCUUCUCUACCUCAGCACAGCCCAGUGAUGCAGCAUCAAGUGCACCUGUCCCCUCUACCUUAGCACAGCCCCAGCAAAACAUCAUGCAUCUACAAAAAGGCUGCACCAAUAGACUCUGCUGACUGGCCAUCGGUUUUAAAUGAUAAGGACUGGAGACGCAUUUGUUAAGCACUAUGUUACUCAAACUCCAGUGAACAUGGGUCUCAAGGCCGGUGACUUCGACUGAGGAGAAUAUUAUAAAGCCGGUAAUGUGACAGUAGGCCUCUAGGCUGGAGAAUGUGAUGUAGAGAAGCCACAAACCGAUGAACAACAUUGAAGUCAGAACCUUUAUGAUUUUGGGGCCACCCAGCUCUCCGCCCACCGAUGGCCGUCGCCG